GGCUCGGUAGCUUAGUUGGUAAAGCGCUCGUCUAGCAUACAAGAGUCCUGGGUUCAAAUCCUAGCCAAGCAC
rfam:Aedes aegypti strain Liverpool supercont1.287 genomic scaffold, whole genome shotgun sequence.